AACGAACGCUGGCGGCAUGCCUAACACAUGCAAGUCGAACGAGACCUUCGGGUCUAGUGGCGCACGGGUUCGUAACGCGUGGGAACCUGCCCUUAGGUUCGGAAUAACUCCCCGAAAGGGGUGCUAAUACCGGAUAAUGUCUUCGGACCAAAGAUUUCUCGCCUUUGGAUGGGCCCGCGUUGGAUUAGCUAGUUGGUAGGGUAAAAGCCUACCAAGGCGACGAUCCAUAGCUGGUCUGAGAGGAUGAUCAGCCACACUGGGACUGAGACACGGCCCAGACUCCUACGCGAGGCAGCAGUGGGGAAUAUUGGACCAUGGGCGAAAGCCUGAUCCAGCAAUGCCGCGUGAGUGAUGAAGGCCUUAGGGUUGUAAAGCUCUUUUACCCGGGAUGAUAAUGACAGUACCGGGAGAAUAAGCUCCGGCUAACUCCGUG
rnacentral:rRNA from 1 species